rnacentral:siRNA from 1 species
ACACCUCCUUCUCCUUCUCCAUGC